CAAGAGGAAUCCGAAAAUCUUUUAAUAGAGUAGGAA
ncrna:unclassified sequences DTF805b RNA